UUUUUUAACUUCCGGUGAACUUCAGCGUGAUCGAAGAUUCGCCAAGGAGAACACGAUGGAAGAAUAUGUUCGAGAUCCAUGUCCCUACAGAAUUGUGGAUGACUGCGGAGGUGCCUUUGCUUUGGGUACGAUAGGAGGUAGUGUGUUUCAUUCCAUCCAAGGAUUUAGAAAUGCGGGUAAAGGAACCAAACUGAGAGGUGCUCUAACAAAGGUUGUAAGCAAUAGCCCAAGGACGGCAGGUAAGUGUCAAGGACUUCACUGUAAAAUGCUGUAAAGUGCUGUAAACUCAAAUUAUGGUGAAAUCCAAAUCCCAGUUCUUCAUCCUGUUAUCAUACAAUGCAUCAAUUAAUUGUCUCCUGCUAGUGCUUUCACUGAAAGUGGAGGAUAUGAAUUUUAGUCUGCAUUCAGAUGUAUUAUUUAAUUGGAAUUGCAAAAUUGACACUAAACAACACUGAAUUCCAACUAUUUAAAGUACUCUGCUUGAUGCCACAGUGGCUAUGAUUCUCUUAAUAUUGUUUUAAAUUUUAUUCGCAGGAAGUUUUUCCAUGUGGGGUCUAAUGUUCACGACAGCAGACUGCACGUUCGCUCACAUCCGAGGAAAAGAAGACCCCUGGAACUCCAUAAUGAGUGGCUUUACAACAGGCUUCAUCCUAGCUUUACCAAGUAAUUACAUUGUACUAGGAAGUUUCUUCUCAUUCAAUGGUCUAUUAUGUUUUUAAAGUUCUUUCUGUUCCAAAAAUUCAAGUAAAAUUCACUUUCUCCUGCUUGCUUCCUCUUCCCACAAAGAAAGGAAGUAGGAUCCCACAAUUUUUAUUACACAUAUUUCUAAUUGUAGAUGGUUAUUGGGCAGCCACAGGGUCUGGUGUAGUAGGAGGAAUUUUACUAGGAAUGAUUGAAGGAAUCAGUAUCAUGAUGAACCGCAUGGCUGGGGAGGAAGCCUACAGAGAGAACGAUACCAACAGAAGGAUGUUUGAAGACCCCCAUGCAGAACCCCCUCCCCCAGAAACCCCUUCACUAGGCUCUGUGUUCGGAAUGUUCGGUCCACAGACUCAGACAAAUCAAUGACACAGUACAUGUACCACUAGGAUUUUACUUGUGACCUUUUACCAUUGCCAUUCAUUUUGCUACAUUUUCAUCAUGUUGUGGAGAACAAAGAAUGAACAUUACUUUUUUCUGUUGAACAGAUGAAAACCAUCAUGUCAGCAAGACAUUUAUUUUGAUAUGUACUGUGUUGAUCGGAAUUCCCAAAGUCUUGUUCAGAUCUGUGUGAUUUUGAGUGAUAUACAGGGAACCAUGUACUCUGUGAAGACAUGUUUAGAUGUUCCCGGUAUAAAUAAAAUUUGUAGGGACAUGAAUCACAUUAUGACUGUACAAGAUUACACAAUUUAUAUCUACACAUGUAUAUACAUGGCACGUGUGUACAUACAUGUACAUGUAUUGUUUUGUUGUAUAGGUCAGUCUGAUCUAGGGGUUAGAUGUACAUGCAUUCUGCGUACAUGUUCUGUGUUUCUGAUUAAUGAUUAAUAAUUAAGUCCAACAUCAUCCACUCUUAUCAUUGCAUUCAUCUAUGAGUUUAUUUUUCAUGUACAGAUCUGAGUAAAAAUGUGCAUUGAAUUAUAGUACAGGAAAAUCAACACAAAUUAAUAAGUUUUAUUUAUAAUAUUUUAAAACGAUUUUCAUUCUGGUUUGAUAAGAGUUAUCUCUCCUAAGCCAGAUACUUUUGCUGUAUUUACUGUAGAUUACUGUUGUUGUUGGUUUUCAAACAUUUAAAAAAAAAACGACAAAAAUCAAUAAAAAAAAAAAUGAAGCAAACA
rnacentral:misc_RNA from 1 species